rnacentral:rRNA from 1 species
AGUAUUAAAGGUCCUGCCUGCCCAGUGAAAUUUUUAAACGGCCGCGGUAUUCUAACCGUGCAAAGGUAGCGUAAUCACUUGUCUUCUAAAUAAAGACCAGUAUGAAUGGCUAAAUGAGGACAAAACUGUCUCCUACAACCUAUCAGUGAAAUUGAUCUCCCAGUCCAAAAGCUGGGAUAUCAACAUAAGACGAGAAGACCCUGUGGAGCUUAAAAUCCAUGUAUUACCACAAACACAAUAUAACUAAUAAAUGAUUUUGAGUUGGGGCGACUUCGGAACAAAACAAAACUUCCGAGCACAGAACCACAAUUUCUAACUGAGGCACACAGGCCAAAGAAUAAAUUAGACCCAGUCACACUGAUCAACGAACCAAGUUACCCCAGGGAUAACAGCGCUAUCUUCUUCAAGAGUCCAUAUCGACAAGAAGGUUUACGACCUCGAUGUUGGAUCAGGGCACCCCAAUGGUGCAACCGCUAUUAAAGGUUCGUUUGUUCAACGAUUAACAGC